GAACAAAGCACUUUCGACUGUUCAUGGGAUACUCCAGAGGAGCAAUGUUGGCUCCAUGCUGUAAAUACCCAUCUCUUCAAUGAGGAGGCUUUUGAUUAGAAAGCCUGGGAGGGCCUACAAUCAGGACCCAAGGCAAAAUGGGAAGCUGGCUUGGAGGAUCAUCCAUUCAGGCCCUGGAAGGCACUCUAUUUACGUAAAGACUCUGUCAGUUGCCACAGUGGCUUCACUAAUUGUCUGCAGCACCCAAUGAAGAGAAUAGUUCUGGAACAAGAAUGCCUUAGGCCUUCCUUCUAUUCUAUAAAACAAAGCUUCACUGUGUCCAUCACUUCUGCUUUUCCACAAACAUGGAAGCACCAGGACUGCCAGGACUUGUCUGUUUCAUGCUCUGUAUCCAGAUCUUACUGCGUCUCAGCUCUGCUACAGAAAUACAUCGGUGUUUUGACUGUAGGAAAGGCAAAGCUGUUCCAGAGGACCAGGAGCUGGCUGCAUCCACUGCAAGGCCAAGUCUUACCCUGCUGAAGAGAAAAGUGUCUGACAGCUUGUUCAUUAAAAGUACACAGUUUCCAAGACAAAAC
rnacentral:lncRNA from 1 species